ACCGGCAGCUCUAGUGGUAGUCAAUUUUAUUGGGCCUAAAGCGUCCGUACGCCGGUUUAAUAAGUCUCUGGUGAAAUCCUGCAGCUUAACUGUGGGAAUUGCUGGAGAUACUAUUAGACUUGAGAUCGGGAGAGGUUAGAGGUACUCCCAGGGUAGAGGUGAAAUUCUGUAAUCCUGGGAGGACCGCCUGUUGCGAAGGCGUCUAACUGGAACGAUUCUGACGGUGAGGGACGAAAGUUAGGGGCGCGAACCGGAUUAGAUACCCGGGUAGUCCUAACUGUAAACGAUGCGGACUUGGUGUUGGGGUGGCUUUGAGCUGCUCCAGUGCCGAAGGGAAGCUGUUAAGUCCGCCGCCUGGGAAGUACGGUCGCAAGACUGAAACUUAAAGGAAUUGGCGGGGGGAGCACCACAACGCGUGGAGCCUGCGGUUUAAUUGGAUUCAACGCCGGACAUCUCACCAGAGGCGACAGCUGUAUGGUAGCCAGGUUGAUGACUUUUGCUUGACUAGCUGAGUAGUGGUGCAUGG
rnacentral:rRNA from 1 species